rnacentral:rRNA from 1 species
CCUACGGGGGGCAGCAGUGAGGAAUAUUGGUCAAUGGGCGGAAGCCUGAACCAGCCAAGUCGCGUGAGGGAGUAAGGCCCUACGGGUCGUAAACCUCUUUUGCCGGGGAGCAGUGCCCAGCUCGUGAGCUGGGAGGGAGCGUACCCGGAGAAAAAGCAUCGGCUAACUCCGUGCCAGCAGCCGCGGUAAUACGGAGGAUGCGAGCGUUAUCCGGAUUUAUGGGGUUUAGGGGGUGCGUAGGGGGGCCUUCGUGAAGAGGGUAAAAUUGCGGGGCUCAACCCCGCCGAGCCGUCGGAACCGGGGGACUUGAGUACCGGAGAGGAACGCGGAAUGCGUGGUGUAGCGGUGGAAUGCAUAGAUAUCACGCAGAACCCCGAUUGCGAAGGCAGCGUACCGGCCGGUCACUGACGCUGAGGCACGAAAGCGCGGGGAUCGAACAGGAUUAGAUACCCUAGUAGUC